AACGAACGCUGGCGGCAGGCUUAACACAUGCAAGUCGAACGGGCGUAGCAAUACGUCAGUGGCAGACGGGUGAGUAACACGUGGGAACCUUCCUAGGGGUACGGAACAACUCAGGGAAACUUGAGCUAAUACCGUAUACGUCCGUGAGGAGAAAGAUUUAUCGCCCUUAGACGGGCCCGCGUCGGAUUAGGUAGUUGGUGGGGUAACGGCCUACCAAGCCUUCGAUCCGUAGCUGAUCUGAGGGGAUGAUCAGCCACACCGGGACUGAGACACGGCCCAGACUCCUACGGGAGGCAGCAGUGGGGAAUCUUGGACAAUGGGCGCAAGCCUGAUCCAGCCAUGCCGCGUGAGUGAAGAAGGCCUUAGGGUUGUAAAGCUCUUUUACCAGGGACGAUAAUGACGGUACCUGGAGAAUAAGCCCCGGUAAACUUCGUGCCAGCCGCCGCAGUAAAAC
rnacentral:rRNA from 1 species